GUCUCAGUAAGGGAAUUCUUACCUGCAGCCCUUUGGGCUACAGUGAGCGUGAUGAAGAUGGGUUCUGAUCGAAUGAUUUAAAACCCACUGGAGAUUGGGACUUGCAACCCCCCUUUCUUCACUUCUGAC